UUUUCGCAACACUAAGUAUGUACUCGUAAAUGUCCCCAAAUCAAAUAUGAACUCGCAAAUAAUCCUAUAAGUUGGAGAGUUUACUGUAGUUUGUCUUUAAAUAUACUAAAGAUAAAUAUCAUUGUUUUUUUUGGUUGGAACGCACGCCUCUUUUUUCUUUUUCUUUUCUCAAUUUUUUUAAAUUCUUUUAUUUUUCCCUCUUCUUCCUCUUUCUACACGUCUCCAUCUCUCUCUUUUUUUCUUUCCAACUUUUUGUUUAUCUUUUUCUUGGCUCUGAGAUGAGAAUCUGGAUUUAUGUUAAUUAAUUUCUUUCUUAGGGGAUGAAAUUUGUUGUUUAUAGCAUUUAUCCAGAUAUGGAGUGCCUAAAUUCUUGAUAAAGAAGAUGUGGGGAAUUGGAAGAAGAAAGCAUAUCUGGAGAUUUGAAGAUGCUAUUGUCAUAAGGGAAUUUGUUGCAAAUUAUGGGGGUUUUAUUGUAAAUCUGUAAAAUACGUAGAUACUCAUAGUUGUACAAAGAAUGAUUUAACAAAAUUUAUUUGG